rnacentral:pre_miRNA from 1 species
GAGACACCCCUCUGGGGCAAGACUUGCUUCAAUGGGACUUUGGUGCUCACUGAAUCUGCCCCCUGAGUGUGUCUUU